CAGUCGCCGCGGUAAUACAGAGGAUGCAAGCGUUAUCCGGAAUGAUUGGGCGUAAAGCGUCUGUAGGUGGCUUUUCAAGUCCGCCGUCAAAUCCCAGGGCUCAACCCUGGACAGGCGGUGGAAACUGCCAAGCUGGAGUACGGUAGGGGCAGAGGGAAUUUCCAGUGGAGCGGUGAAAUGCGUUGAGAUCGAAAAGAACACCAACAGCGAAAGCACUCUGCUGGGACGACACUGACACUAAGAGACGAAAGCUAGGGGAGCAAAUGGGAUUAGAGACCCCUGUAGUCCCUGUCUCUUAUAA
rnacentral:rRNA from 1 species